UACGUAGGGUGCAAGCGUUGUCCGGAAUUAUUGGGCGUAAAGAGCUCGUAGGCGGUCUGUCGCGUCGGCUGUGAAAUCCCGGAGCUCAACUCCGGGUCUGCAGUCGAUACGGGCAAACUGGUGUACUGCAGGGGAGACUGGAAUUCCUGGUGUAGCGGUGAAAUGCGCAGAUAUCAGGAGGAACACCGGUGGCGAAGGCGGGUCUCUGGGCAGUAACUGACGCUGAGGAGCGAAAGCGUGGGGAGCGAACAGG
rnacentral:rRNA from 1 species